CCUGCUUGUUAGGUCUAUAACAGGAAUUGGAUAAUGAUCCCCGUCAGUAGUCGGGUGUUUGAGUAAUAACCACUGAAUGACGAGGGAGGGAGGAACCCGGACGCCCAAAAAAUCCCCCACCCCCAGCGCGGCAAUGCCGUCAUGUGCCCGCAUCUCAUCCGCCGUCUCCACCGCCGCCGCAUCCUCCUCCUCGCCGCCGCCGCAUCCUCCUCGCUGCCGCCGCCUCGCCGCCGCCACGGCGCGCGUGCGGGAGGGGACGCUCCGCCCUGAGGAAGCACACGACCUGCUCGACGAGUUGCAGCGUCGAGGCACGCCCGUUCUCGAGCGCGAUCUGAACGGCUUCCUCGCGGCGCUCGCGCGUGCGCCGUCCUCCGCCGCCUGCAGGAGUGGCCCUGCCCUCGCCGUCGCGCUCUUCAACCGCGCGGCGUCUCGGGCUCAAGGACCGCGGGUGCUGUCCCCCACAUCCCACACCUACGCCAUCCUCAUGGACUGCUGCACCCGCGCGCACCGCCCAGAGCUAGCGCUGGCGUUCUUCGGCCAGCUCCUCAGGACAGGCUUGCGCGUCAAUAUCAUCAUCGCUAACCACCUUCUCGAGGGCUUUUGUGAAGCGAAGCGGACAGACGAGGCUUUGGACAUCCUUCUCCACAGAACGCCUGAGUUGGGCUGUGUGCCCGAUGUUUUCUCGUACAGCAUACUUCUGAAGAGCCUCUGCGACCAAGGAAAGAGUGGCCAGGCAGAUGAUUUGCUACGGAUGAUGGCUGAAGGGGGAGCUGUCUGCUCGCCCAACGUGGUUGCCUACAAUACAGUAAUCGACGGCUUUUUUAAGGAGGGUGACGUAAAUAAAGCAUGUGAUCUAUUCAAAGAAAUGGUACAGCGGGGCAUUCCACCUGAUUUAGUGACUUAUAACUCUGUGGUCCAUGCCCUGUGUAAGGCAAGAGCAAUGGACAAGGCAGAGGCUUUCCUUCGACAAAUGGUCAAUAAACGUGUUCUGCCAAAUAACUGGACAUAUAAUAACUUGAUAUAUGGAUACUCCUCCACAGGACAGUGGAAGGAGGCAGUUAGGGUAUUUAAAGAAAUGAGAAGACACAGCAUCUUACCAGAUGUUGUUACUUUGAGCAUGUUGAUGGGUUCCCUUUGCAAGUAUGGAAAAAUCAAGGAAGCUAGAGAUGUUUUUGACACAAUGGCAAUGAAGGGCCAAAAUCCUGAUGUUUUCUCCUACAAUAUUAUGCUCAACGGGUACGCUACUAAAGGAUGUUUAGUUGAUAUGACAGAUCUCUUCGAUUUGAUGCUAGGUGACGGUAUUGCACCUGACUUUUAUACUUUUAAUGUGCUGAUCAAGGCAUAUGCAAACUGUGGAAUGCUAGAUAAGGCUAUGAUCAUCUUCAAUGAAAUGAGAGACCAUGGAGUGAAACCUGAUGUGGUAACCUAUAGGACAGUGAUUGCUGCCCUCUGCAGAAUCGGUAAGAUGGAUGAUGCUAUGGAAAAAUUUAAUCAGAUGAUUGAUCAAGGAGUAGCACCUGAUAAAUAUGCAUACAAUUGCCUGAUUCAAGGUUUUUGUACUCAUGGUAGUUUACUGAAAGCCAAGGAAUUGAUUUCGGAAAUAAUGAAUAAUGGCAUGCAUCUUGACAUUGUUUUCUUCAGUUCGAUAAUUAACAACCUUUGCAAACUGGGAAGGGUAAUGGACGCACAAAAUAUAUUUGACUUAACUGUAAAUGUUGGUCUGCAUCCUGAUGCUGUGGUGUAUAGUAUGCUGAUGGAUGGGUACUGUCUUGUUGGCAAGAUGGAGAAAGCAUUAAGAGUAUUUGAUGCUAUGGUGUCAGCUGGCAUUGAACCAAACGUUGUAGUGUAUUGUACACUUGUUAAUGGCUAUUGUAAAAUUGGAAGGAUUGAUGAAGGAUUGAGUCUUUUCAGAGAAAUGCUGCAAAGGGGAAUAAAGCCUUCAACUAUUUUAUACAGCAUCAUAAUUGAUGGGUUAUUUCAGGCCGGGAGAACAGUUCCUGCAAAGGUGAAAUUCCAUGAAAUGACAGAAAGUGGUAUCGCUAUGGACAUAUGUACAUACAACAUAGUUCUUCGUGGACUUUUUAAAAAUAGAUGCUUUGAUGAAGCAAUCUUUCUUUUCAAAGAAUUACGUGCAAUGAAUGUAAAGAUCAAUAUCAUAACUCUCAAUACCAUGAUAGAUGGAAUGUUUCAAACCAGGAGAGUUGAAGAAGCUAAGGAUCUGUUUGCUUCUAUCUCGAGAAGUCGGCUGGUGCCUAGUGUUGUGACUUACAGUAUAAUGAUCACAAAUCUUAUAAAAGAAGGAUUGGUGGAAGAGGCAGAAGAUAUGUUUUCAUCCAUGCAGAAUGCUGGCUGUGAGCCCAAUUCUCGAUUGCUGAAUCAUGUAGUCAGGGAAUUACUAAAGAAAAAUGAAAUAGUCAGGGCUGGAGCUUACCUGUCCAAGAUUGACGAGAGGAAUUUCUCACUUGAACAUUUAACCACAAUGUUGCUGGUCGAUCUCUUCUCAAGCAAAGGAACUUGUAGGGAACACAUAAGAUUUCUCCCUGCAAAGUAUCAUUUUCUUGCAGAGGCCAGUCCGUGAUUGAUAUUUUGAUUUUUUUUUUUGGAAUAAGUCCUUGCACGCACCUGUCACAGUUAAGCUAGUAUAUGAUCUUAACUAAAACCAUUGGUUUACUUCAUGUUCAUGUUUUCUCGGAAGAUUUUCUUCUCAUUUGACCUGCUUGAUAUGCAGAUGUUCAUUUACUUUUGAUCCAAUAUAUGCAGAGCGUUUUAUGUUUUUUGAAGCAUAUUCGUUCCGGUGCUGAUGUAGCUAUGUGCUCCCCGUACACAACUGAUGUGCGAUUCUCUCUUGUAGCAUGUUUUAUCAUGUCUGUUAACACAGCCGAUGUUGCAUUUAUGAGGAAUGACGUUAUAACUGCUGAAUUGUGAUGAAGAAUAAUGUAGCAUGCUGAAUCCUGUUUUGGCCCCUGGCCGAGCCGCCCAGUUCGUCAUGACCAGCAGGGUAAUGUUCAUCUACAUGUCUAGUUUGCUCAUCUUGUCUUUGAGAAGGGACACCCUUAGCUGUUUACAUUAACAAAUAGAUAACGUUCUUCCUCAUUAGUGAUUGCAACCAAAGGCAGUUUGGCCUAAUGCUGUGGCUUGUAAGGGCAAAGUGGAUACCCUGCUGCUGGGUAGUACUAGUAUAUUGCUGUUCAAACCUGCAAAUGUAAGUUUUAAACAAACCUGCCAUUUCUAUCUACUGUACUAUGCACUUGCACUUGAAACAUAUAACUUUCAUUCAUGUUCAGUUAGCAUAUAAGUAUAUGCAUUAAUGAUUAAGUUCAUGCACCGGCCGAUUCACAACACUGAAAUACUGAUGCCACAGAUCUGGGAUCAGCUGAUGGAUGAAAGAACAAUCAGUAGUCUCUGGGUAAAAUAUCAUGCCUGCGCAAGCGAGCGGACAUGAGUGACAAGAAGCGGUGAGUGCCUGCCUGCCUCCAUUUAAGGGCCUGUUCGUUCUCAUCUUAAUACAUGUGGAUUAGAUGAGAUUAGACGAAAUGGAAGCAGAGCAUUGUGGUCAGACCACCACCAUCUCCAAGGGAGAACAAAGAGAAGGAUUGUGCUGUUUACAUUAACAAAUAGAUAACGUUCUUCCUCAUUAGUGAUUGCAACCAAAGGCAGUCUGGCCUAAUGCUGUGGUUUGUAAGGGCAAAGUGGAUACCCUGCUGCUGGGUAGUACUAGUGUAUUGCUGUUGAAACCUGCAAAUAUCUGGGAUCAGCUGAUGGAUGAAGAACAAUGAGUAGUCUCUGGGUAAAAUAGCAUGCCUGCGCAAGCGAGCGGACAUGAGUGACAAGAAGCUGUGAGUGCCUGCCUGCCUCCAUUUAGAGCUGAUAUUUAGGUGGGAUUAAAAUCCAUGGUGGGAUUGGGUGUAAGAAUGACCGGACAAGGCCUAAUGUGUAUCAGCAGAUUGACAACGCAACAAGAGCGAAGCCACAAGAGGUUUCAGGGUAGGGUACCAUCUAAUGUGUAUCAGCAGCAGCAGGUUUUUCUCAGGUGUUAAGAACCACCGACAUGAAAAAGCACCGAGUUUGCUCGUUCAUUCCUUGGCAGCCUUGUCGAUGAGCUCCUGUGGAUGUGGGGGAUGACGCCGCCGCCGCUGGCGGCGAUGGUAGCCUUGAUCAGGGUUUCCAGCUCGUCGUUCCCGUGGAUCGCCAGCUGAAGGAACAGAAGGCAAAAACAGAGAGGGAAAUUGAACAAGGAAUAAACAAGAGAUUGUAUAGGAAGCUUGAUACGAAAUGGAAGCAGAGCAUUGUGGUCAGACCACCACCAUCUCUAAGGGAGAACAAAGAGAAGGCAAGCAGAGCCUGUGCACGUAUUGGUUGGUUCAGUUGUGCGGUUGCUCUUUUUGGCUCUUAUCUUCGUCACCAUCCUUGUAUUUGUAGGAUUGUGGAAAUGUAACCCGUUCAAGUUGCUGCAUUAGUAGCAGCUAGUAGUAUCUGUGAUUCAGAAAUCUAAAAGUUGUGACUUGUGAGGCAGCCUGCUGCCUUGUUCAUGUAGAAUGAACCUUGUGCUGCCUUAUUA